CAGAGGUCCCAAGCGUUGUUCGGAUUCACUGGGGCGUAAAGGGUGCGCAGGUGGGUUUGCAAGUUUGAUGUGAAAGCCCCGGGCUUAACCCGGGAAUGGCAUUGAAUACUGCAGAUCUGGAGGAUUGGAGGGGGGACUGGAAUUCUUGGUGUAGCAGUGAAAUGCGUAGAUAUCAAGAGGAACACCAGUGGCGAAGGCGAGUCCCUGGACAAUACCUGACACUGAGGCACGAAAGCUAGGGGAGCAAACAGGAUUAGAUACCCUGGUAGUCCUAGCUGUAAACGGUGCGCAUUUGCUGUAAACGGAAUCGACCCCGUUUGUGGCGAAGCUAACGCGAUAAAUGCGCCGCCUGGGAAGUACGGCCGCAAGAUUA
rnacentral:rRNA from 1 species